GUUGAACCUGCUCACCUGGCUGAGAUGGUGUUUGUCAGUUUUCUCUUCUGUAAAGUUCAUAUUUUUCCUUUCUUUUUCAUAUGGACCUUUUCAGAAGGAAGUUACUGUGUAUAGAAGACACUUCAUGAGGCGAGUGAGCCAUUAUAGAGGCAGCGUGCACCCUAAGCAGCAAGAGUGGUGGCCGUUCAGCUCCUUCCCUGGGAACUACUCUCAGCAUCUCAGCAUCAAGCUGUCACAGCUUUGAACUGUGCCUAUUUGCCCAGAUGACCAAGAUUAGGAGAAGACAAUUUAAGAACUUCAUUUUAGCAAUCAAACUUUAAAGCAAGAGAGAUGGGGGAAAAUGACAAUGAAAAGAUGAAAGAAAAAAAGACUAAACAGACUCUGGCAGUCAGAGGCCUGGAGUAUGGAGGUCUUGAUCUAAAGGUAUUGGGCAGAAGCCCUCCAUGUCUACUUGGAUGAUUGAAGUUCUUGGGAGAGCUGUUUCCAUCAUGAUGAAGUUUAAUUCUGGAGAAUCCCAACCCCUUUCAUCAGUGUGGCUAUUGAGUAGGCACAAGUGACUAUGUGGCAGAGAUCCUCAGCUACAGAUUUGUUGUGGAUUAUAUGGCGGAGCACGUACAAGAGAGAACUUGAAUUUUUUGUAGGCCCAAAAAUAAGGCUGGGUAUUUUAAACCUCAAGGCAAACAAUUUAAAAAUUUCUCCUUUGUCAUUGACAAUUUGCAAAAUGAAAGAUCUCCCUGCCUUUCUGUAACUCAUGAAUUUAUUUAUUUAUUGAGAGAAAAAGUAGGAUUUGUAUAGUUUAUGGAGGAAAAUCAGAGCUAUAAUCCUAAAAUACAGAUGUGCAAAUAAUAAUCCUUCAUUUAGGUACAUGCUAUCUAAAAGAUAAAUUCACGACUCCAUAUUAAUAUGCACAAAAUAUGUCCCAAUGAAGCUUCAAUCUCCCCAACACACUCCACCCCCAACUAGCUCGAUACCCCAACCACGCGGACUUCAUCCUUCCCCAAAACACCCUUUUCAGCCUCCUGUCUUUGGACAUGAUGCUUCUUACACAAUAAAUUUUUCUUCUAAUU
rnacentral:lncRNA from 1 species